ACGGCUCAGUAACACGUAGUCAAUCUACCCUAUGGACGGGAAUAACCUCGGGAAACUGAGAAUAAUGCCCGAUAGAACAUUAUGCCUGGAAUGGUUUAUGUUUCAAAUGAUUUAUCGCCAUAGGAUGGGACUGCGGCCUAUCAGUUUGUUGGUGAGGUAGUGGCCCACCAAGACUAUUACAGGUACGGGCUCUGAGAGGAGUAGCCCGGAGAUGGGUACUGAGACACGGACCCAGGCCCUAUGGGGCGCAGCAGGCGAGAAAACUUUGCAAUGUGCGAAAGCACGACAAGGUUAAUCCGAGUGGUUUCUGCUAAAGAAACCUUUUGUCAGUCCUAGAAACACUAACGAAUAAGGGGUGGGCAAGUUCUGGUGUCAGCCGCCGCGGUAAAACCAGCACCUCAAGUGGUCAGGAUGAUUAUUGGGCCUAAAGCAUCCGUAGCCCGUUUUGUAAGUUUUCGGUUAAAUCCAUGCGCUUAACGUAUGGGCUGCCGGGAAUACUGCAUAACUAGGAAGUGGGAGAGGUAGACGGUACUCGGUAGGAAGGGGUAAAAUCCUUUGAUCUAUUGAUGACCACCUGUGGCGAAGGCGGUCUACCAGAACACGUUCGACGGUGAGGGAUGAAAGCUGGGGGAGCAAACCGGAUUAGAUACCCGGGUAGUCCCAGCUGUAAACUAUGCAGACUCAGUGAUGCAUUGGCUUAUGGCCAAUGCAGUGCUGCAGGGAAGCCGUUAAGUUUGCCGCCUGGGAAGUACGUACGCAAGUAUGAAACUUAAAGGAAUUGGCGGGGGAGCAC
rnacentral:rRNA from 1 species